rnacentral:rRNA from 1 species
GACGAACGCUGGCGGCGUGCUUAACACAUGCAAGUCGAACGAUGAAACCUAGCUUGCUAGGUCGAUUAGUGGCGAACGGGUGAGUAACACGUGACUAACCUGCCCCUUUCUCUGGGAUAACGCUCCGAAAGGAGUGCUAAUACCGGAUACUCACAUCGAGGCACAUGCCUUGAUGUGGAAAGUUUUUCGGAAAGGGAUGGAGUCGCGGCCUAUCAGCUUGUUGGUGAGGUAACGGCUCACCAAGGCGGCGACGGGUAGCCGGCCUGAGAGGGCGACCGGCCACACUGGGACUGAGACACGGCCCAGACUCCUACGGGAGGCAGCAGUGGGGAAUAUUGCACAAUGAGCGCAAGCCUGAUGCAGCGACGCCGCGUGAGGGAUGAAGGUCUUCGGAUUGUAAACCUCUUUCAGUAGGGACGAAGCGAAAGUGACGGUACCUAAAGAAGAAGCACCGGCUAACUACGUGCCAGCCGCCGCCGUAA